UAUAGGGGCUUAUAAGUCUCAGGAACCAAACAGGUAAGGACUUAUUAGGGACUUGAGACUUAUAAGUUGGAACCAAACAGGGCCUGAGUCUCCGGGUUCACCGUCGUGGCGUUUUUACACAAAGCUCCCUGGUGUUUAAGGUAUCCAACCCGCAGUCCCCCUAAUAAGUCAAUCGAAUCGAACCGGCACUGACCAGAGAAAAGAAAAAAAACUGCACAACGACCUUGCCCUCCAUCUCCAUCUCCAGCGCAUCUCCAUGCUAUCGCGCGCCGCCGGCCCCCGACACGCCGCCGCGCACCGCCAACGCCCCUCCGCCGUGCGCCUUCCCCACCCCUGCGGCUUUCCACCACCAGCGACACUUGAUGCCGGCGCCGCACCUUCCCCCAAUCCCUCUCUCUCGCCACGACCCGACGCCGUCGUCCUCCACCACCAGCCCAGCCCCGGCGUGUUCCUUUUCCAGUGACGCUACUCACCUUCCCUCCUCUCUUGGCCGAUGUCCAGUGCUCCGGCGACGGCAAAGACAGUUCCAAACCGCCUGCCUCGCCUCUCAAUCACAGGUGAGCCGACGGGAGCUGGUUCCUUUCCUCCCCGACGCUCUUCUUCACCUGGCCGGAGCACCUGCUCCUCCCAUCACGCACAGAUCGACGGAGCAGUUCGAUGGUCGUUGCCCAGGCUGCGUGCAGUUCAGUGCUGCUCUGCCCCCAUUGACUUCAACCACCAACCCGCGAGGUGCACGCCAUGUGUUUGCUAAAAAGACUCAGAGAAGAGAUGGCUAUUGAUGAAGCCGAGCUUGAGCCUCUAGAAUUUGCCGAGAAAAUGCACACUCAACGGGAAUUACAACAACAGAAACUGGAGAUGUUAGUUCAAAUUAGAAAACACAAUUCCGAGAGCCAAUCUGUCAUACUUGAGACUUUGCAGAGGCAGUUGGAGAGUGCUGAUUUCGAUACCAGUGCAUCAAUAUUCACUCCGGAGCAGAUCCAAGGGAUUGUUGAGAAAUACUCCAGUUCACAUAUUUCAAGAGAUGUGCAGAUGGGGGACAUGAAAGGAACGAAGGAAAGGGAACGGAACGAGCGAAGAAAGGCUGGGCUGGCUCCAAUGGAGCUAGGACGGCGUGGAGUCAGCAGACGGGGGAGCGCAGGCGCUAGGCGGCGAUCACGGGGCUCCACGUCUACCGUCGGGGCGGCAUGCUCGAUCUGCAGAGGACAUGACGAUGACAGGGAGAAACAAAAAGGUUACAAAUUCAUCUAAUUUCAAUGAUCAUGAAGAGGGGAACAAGUGAUAUGUAUUCAAAUUUGUGGUCUUUCGUCUGCCCAUGAUCUUUCUGUAGUACAAACAUUCUUUUUCAUAUGCCUGCAACAUUUGCGUUGAAUUUAUAUGAUGUUGCUCCUUAAUUAUUUACACUGAUUGAUGUACAGCAAUAUGAGUGCUGCCCUCUAGAGGAGCAUCAAGCUCUAACACUAUGCGCUUGCUCAAGUAGAUCGAGAGCAUCAACACCCGAAGGAGAUAUGGAGGGAGAGAAAUAAGUAUUAUCCCCAUUAUUGCAAUGCACAGGCUCUUUCUUUCUCGUUCUAGAAUUUUUAUAACUGCAUUUGGGUGGACUAUUUUGGUUUUUAAGUGACAUUAAUUACAUUUCAUUAUGCUAAUACUUACUUACCUUUUCUAUUUGUUGAGACCAAAUUUUGAGAAUUAAACCAGUAGUGAAUUCAAUAGAAUCUGAGACGCCUAUAACCUUUGUGCAGGUCUGACAUGAAUAAGGCCGAUCGGUUUUGCAAGAUUGAAAAUGGUGUAUCAUGGCGCAACAAUCAUGAUAUCGAUCAAAUGGACGAAUCACAUCACAAGAGAUACAAGACCUGUUCCUGAUUUACGAAAGACAAAACUUGACACUGGUACAUCACUGGGCAGUGUGUUAAACUUUGCUAUUUCAUAUACAUGGAAAAUUUCAUUCAGAUCUGAGUUGCAAUCAUGCCAUGUAUGCAAAGUGGUUUUUUUCUUCAAAUUUCAAAGCACACACAUGUAUUUAUUUUGUACCCGUUGCAACGCACGGGCAUUUUUGCUAGUUAUAGACAAACCGUCUAAUUUGCAUAGUAGUCCUUGUUGACACACGGUAAGGUAUGUCUCCGAGAGCAUUAUUAUAAGUUGGCUAAAUUAAACAAACUGGGAAGCUGAAUUCAACACACGAAUACUGAAACCCGAAGCAAAUUUGCUUUAGGCAGAUGGCUUGAGCAGGAAGGUAGGCAAUUAUAGUAGGUGUGUUCUCACGAUUGUGCCCUGCAGAGAACAUGCAACAAAAUCCAAGUUAGAUCAUGCCAGCACUUGAGAAAAGUGGGACACAUGACUUUAAUACUAGGACUGCCUUAACCUUAGAUUAUUUCCAAAGCAAAAUUAUGUUGUUUUGGGCUGGCUGCCAUAAGCCUAAGUUAUGUUUAUUCUUGAGAAAUUUGAAUUAAAUUUCCAUAGCUGCGGGUUUAUGAGUCUCGAAAUAGCUUCUUUGAAAGGCAUUAUAAAUCUCAUCGGCAAAUUAGCAUAUGUUUUACAUGAGAUGGAAGAGAGUACGUACUUGGGAUAGAUGUUUGCUGAUCCAACUACAAGCCCGAACCACCUGCCUGCAGUAGUGGCGAAAUGCUGAGAAGAGAAUAAAUGGAUUCCUCAUGCUCAAAAGCUUUGACGUCAAAACGAAAGAACCAAUAGUUCUCAAGCUUCAAUGCCGUCUCUACUACUUCUUUCAGUGCAUUUUCCAUUUCAUGCUUCAGGAAAAUGUUGAUGUACUCUUGGUCCUCAUCCAUCAUCCAGUUCAUUUGUUGAAUCACCACCCUUCUUAUGCCUGGAGUAUCGGAAGUUGGAGACUUGUACACUUCCAGUAUCUUUGUAAGCAUCUGGACGAACAUAUCGUCUGUAAUCUCAGCACUCCUCAGCGCAUCGGUGAACUGCUUUGCAUUCCCGCUGAUGCAAAUUUGCAUGCACAGGCCAAUAAAGCUCUCCAGCAGCUUGCCUUGUUCAGUUAUCAGCGCCUCUAUCUCCUGUGUAUACAGCGCAUAUAAGGAUAAUAUUAUUCCAACAAAAUAUAAAUUUCAAAGGAAAACUAGUUGAAUCGGAAUAACAGGCCCUAUGAAUUUACUAUGUUAAACAGGGAAGAUGGAGAACUCUGUUUUCUUACAUGACCAGAAGGUUCAUCAGCACAACCUAUCGCUUCUAUUUUAUCCGAUGCAAUCUUGAUUGCUUCCAAUACCUGUGACAGCAUUCAUAUACUUGUCAUCCCCAAAAAUCAAAUGUAUACCAGUGAGUUUAAAAUAAAAUAUGGAUUUAUCAUGCAAGGGUGAUAUAUAUGUAUAUGCACCAUUUCAAGCAUAAUAUGCACGGGCGGCUCCAGGAAUUUGCAACCGGGUAUUCAUGUGUAUUCAUUUUGCCAAAAUCAUUGCUGUUUUUCGAAAAUUGUCACUAUUUUGCCAAAAUCAACACUGUUUUGUAAACAUCAUGGGUAUUCACAUGAAGACCCAAGAAUACCCCUAGCGCCGCCCCUGAUAAUAUGUCAAAUGAAGAUAAAUAAAAACUACUCCUCUGUCCCAUAAUAUAAGAGCAUUUUUGGCACUACAUUAGUGUAAAAAACGCUCUUAUAUUAUGGGAUGGAGGGAGUAUAUGCUUCAGCAGAAGGAAGUGUAAGAUAACCAAAGCCAACCUUUUUUAUUUUUCGCAUAUGAGUGCAAAAUAGAUAAAAGUUAAUUUUCUGUUCCAAGAUUUGAAUCAGGAUAGGUGCUGCUUAGCAGUUACCUUUGGUAGAGCUUUGUUGAUUAUCUCCAGCUGAUCACCAUAUUCUGCUCCCCGGUAACUCCGCAGAUUCUGCAGGAAUUUUGCCACCAUAAUUCUAUGCUCUGCAGACUCAUCAGAGAGCAGCGAGACAAUUCGCUGCAUGCCUUCAAGCUUAGUUUCUGACAAUACUGGCUUGAUGCUCCUUUCACUCACUAUACUGAGCUCGCCGUUUUCUUUGGUAGGAGCAGUGAGCAAUACCAACGCUUCGGCUGCCAACACUCUCAUGGAGCUUUCUUGGACGUCAUCAAUUUCUUCAGCUAGGAGACCGAUGAGUUUCCGGAUGAUUAGGAUGAUCUAUGAAGAACUUGCCAAUAUUCCUUAUGGUGUACAUAUUACUGGACACUUGGCACCUGAGCUCCUCGCCGGUCUCACCAGCUGUGCUCACAAGCUUGCGCAAGACUUCUAGUUCUUGGCAUUCUUCACCUCCGCACAGUUUUCUGGAUUAGUCAGGAGGUUGUCGAGAAUAUCCACACCAAGCAAUUUGAGCUCUUUGCUUGCACAGGUUGAAUUGCUGGAACUUCCACUGGUCUUGGUCCUGCGUGCGCUAAGCAGUGAAGAAAUAGAUUGAAAAAUACCAGGAAAGUUCUCGACUUGAAGGCCAGGUGCGAGCUCCAGCAGUAUGCGCGCAGCAUGCCCUCUGGUGUCUUGUUCCACCUCUCUGUCCAAGCCCAUCAUGUAUACUGCUUUCUCGACGGUAUCAAGAGAAGAUCGAAUCUUGACGCAAUGAAGACAUAACAAUGCAAGCAAUGAGUGCGGCUAGCUGCACUUGUCCAAGGACACUUGAGAAGAGGACUGCAAAGCAAGAUCUACCAGAUAUGAAGACACCUUUUAACUCGUGCAAUGCCAGAAGCUUGUCACUUAAGGACUCUGCAGGGCUUGCAUGCCUCCGCCAACUUCCACGCCCGAGGACCGCAAUUUUUUCCGCUUUUAUCAUUGUUUCAGGUAGGCGAAGGAAGAACUGGUCCUCGGCUUUCACAUUGUUAAAAAGCCUGCCAAUUGAAAAACAAAUUAUAUAUGCAAAAUAAAGCCGGGAUCAACAUAUAAUCAUUGAUGUAGUGAUCUUUAUAAGGUUGCCCAUAAUGAGAGUAUUAUAGCUAGUA